CCGCCGCCGCCAUGCUGCCGCCCGCCGCCCUCCUCGCCCGCUCCGUCCUGCGCGCCGCGGCCCGGCCGGGCCCGGCCCCGCGCGGGCUCCGCUCCGGGCCCGCGCUGAGCCCCGUCAGCACCGCGGACACCGUGCUGGGCCUGGCCGCCGUGUUCGUGUCCAUCUUCGGGCCCGCCGCCUGGGUGCUGGGCCACAUCCAGGACUACCGCAAACGCGAGGAGUGAGGCGGGCCCGCCGCACCCCGGGACCAGCCGCUCCGGGAGCCCCGCGAGCACCGGGACCAGCGCCGCGACCGGCGGGAGGCGCCGCCGCCGCCCAUGGGACCCUCCCCGCUCCCCCCGCCCCAAUAAAGGAACCGCGGAUUCCGCCCGA